GGGGGAUAGGAAAGGCAAAUGUAGCGAGUUCAAAACAAUACAAGGAGUGCGAAUAAAGCAACACAAAGGACUACACCAUGAAAUUUUUAUUGGCAUGUAUUUUUCAUAAAAUAUGUCAUAACGGUUAUUGUAAGGGACGAAGUUGUUAAUAAGGCCUGGCUGGUCGUUAAUAAACUAAUAGACGAUAGAUUUUCGAAGCUCACUCAACGACACGUACACUGGUACACUCUCAGUCUCUCAG